GAUGAACGCUGGCGGCGUGCCUAAUACAUGCAAGUCGAGCGAAUGGAUUAAGAGCUUGCUCUUAUGAAGUUAGCGGCGGACGGGUGAGUAACACGUGGGUAACCUGCCCAUAAGACUGGGAUAACUCCGGGAAACCGGGGCUAAUACCGGAUAAUAUUGUGAACUGCAUGGUUCAAAAUUGAAAGGCGGCUUCGGCUGUCACUUAUGGAUGGACCCGCGUCGCAUUAGCUAGUUGGUGAGGUAACGGCUCACCAAGGCAACGAUGCGUAGCCGACCUGCGAGGGCGAUCGGCCACACUGGGACUGAGACACGGCCCAGACUCCUACGGGAGGCAGCAGUAGGGAAUCUUCCGCAAUGGACGAAAGUCUGACGGAGCAACGCCGCGUGAGUGAUGAAGGCUUUCGGGUCGUAAAACUCUGUUGUUAGGGAAGAACAAGUGCUAGUUGAAUAAGCUGGCACCUUGACGGUACCUAACCAGAAAGCCUCGGCUAACUACGUGCCAGCCGCCGCAGUAA
rnacentral:rRNA from 1 species